UACGUAGGGUGCGAGCGUUGUCCGGAAUUAUUGGGCGUAAAGAGCUCGUAGGCGGCCUGUUGCGUCGGUUGUUGAAAGCCCGGGGCUUAACCCCGGGUCUGCAGUCGAUACGGGCAGGCUAGAGUUCGGUAGGGGAGAUCGGAAUUCCUGGUGUAGCGGUGAAAUGCGCAGAUAUCAGGAGGAACACCGGUGGCGAAGGCGGAUCUCUGGGCCGAUACUGACGCUGAGGAGCGAAAGCGUGGGGAGCGAACAGG
rnacentral:rRNA from 1 species